rnacentral:rRNA from 1 species
AGAGACAGCAUCGCCACGGGAAUACGAAGGGUGCAAGCGUUAAUCGGAAUUACUGGGCGUAAAGCGUGCGUAGGCGGUUUGUUAAGUCUGUUGUGAAAUCCCCGGGCUCAACCUGGGAAUGGCAAUGGAUACUGGCAAGCUAGAGUGUGUCAGAGGAUGGUGGAAUUCCCGGUGUAGCGGUGAAAUGCGUAGAGAUCGGGAGGAACAUCAGUGGCGAAGGCGGCCAUCUGGGACAACACUGACGCUGAGGCACGAAAGCGUGGGGAGCAAACAGGAUUAGAUACCCGCGUAGUCCCUGUCUCUUAUACA